GCAACAGUAGCUCAGAUGUGAGAGCGUCGGUCUUGUAAGCCGAAGGUCGGAGGUUAGAUUCUUCCCUGUUGCU
rnacentral:tRNA from 1 species